AACUUACGUAGUCUGCAAACAGGCGUGGUUGUUUCACAUUAAGAUGUUUUGUAGAAUUAUAAAGCAGCUUUUCUUGUGCUUUCAGAUAAAAUGUUGACAUCCACUAAUGAAUGAGAUACCAUCUGUAAUAAUUAAGGUUAUUCUACUUGUUUUCCCCUGCAGCACAACUUCUAAAGGUUUAGAGAAGAUAGGGAGAGAACCACUAAGAAAGCUAUAGCAGUAUUGGUGAAGAAGGGACUGAGCACAUUUCCUGAAGUGAAGCAAGAUUUUUUUGCCUCAUUUGGUCUGGUCUUGAUAAUUGCUCUGUAGUGGAAAUUGCCAAUAUGUAUCAUUCAGUAUCUGAAACCAGUCAUCCCUUGCAAACAGAAGAACAAGAAAUAGGCAUCGAUCCCUUGCAGGGUUACUUGAACAAGCCUGAAGAAGGUGAGUUCAUUAUUUUUAUACUUUGUACUUAGAAACCUUAUGUAAGAGUCUCAUGAUAGUUAUGCCUGUCAUAAUUUGUUUAAUUCUCUCAAUGAAGUUGAGCAGGGCAUCUUAAAGAACAUUUCACAGAGUGUGUGUAGAGCACUCUGACACUAAUGAAAACCACAAAAAGUCUACUUUCAAUUACAGACAGAAACAUUAGCCAAAUGUUUAAUGCACUGUCAUCCUUUUUUUAAUCAUAAAUCAAACAGUGACUUCAGCAUAACAGUAUUGAAAAGCAUCAUGGCCUUUGUUGCAACUU